rnacentral:rRNA from 1 species
UGACGCUGGCGGCAUGCCAUAACACAUGCAAGUCGAGCGGCAGCAUGACAUGUAGCAAUACAUGUUGAUGGCGAGCGGCGGACGGGUGAGUAAUGUAUAGGGAUCUGUCCAGUAGCGGGGGACAACCCGGAGAAAUCCGGGCUAAUACCGCAUACGCCCUACGGGGGAAAGCGGAGGACCGAAAGGCUUCGCACUAUUGGAGGAACCUAUACCCGAUUAGCUAGUUGGUGAGGUAACGGCUCACCAAGGCGACGAUCGGUAGCUGGUCUGAGAGGACGAUCAGCCACACCGGAACUGAGACACGGUCCGGACUCCUACGGGAGGCAGCAGUGGGGAAUAUUGGACAAUGGGGGAAACCCUGAUCCAGCAAUGCCGCGUGGGUGAAGAAGGCCUGCGGGUUGUAAAGCCCUUUCGGUGAGGACAAAACGCGACGUGCUAAUACCACGUUGUUUUGAUUUAACUCACUAAAGAAGCACCGGCUAACUCUGUGCCAGCAGCCGCGGUAAUACAGAGGGUGCAAGCGUUAAUCGGAAUUACUGGGCGUAAAGCGCACGUAGGCGGC